CUGAGAUUUGGGCAUUAUUAAGUAGGUAUUUGUAUUAAAUCCCGAUUUUGAGAAACGUUCCCCAGUAUCAAAACCGUAGGUAUCGUCAUAACACUAAACUAAGGGCUGCAGUUGUAUCUGCAGUUGGCAACGUGCCGCUCGUCUGAAAGAACCCUGAAAGGUAUUGUAUUGAUUAGGUAGGUAAGUACUUAUUAUAUUUCAACUAUUUAUUAAGUAGGUAGCGUGUUAAUACUCACAAAUCUGUUCCCAUCAUCCCAUGUGAUGUAAAUGUACCUAGAAUAACUUUCUAGCAAAGUUCAUACCUUGUUGAUCUACCACAGAUCUGCCAGCGUUGCCAGAUUUUUUAUUGUCAAGGCGGGAUUUUGGAACUUUUUCAGUUAAAAAAGUGGGAAUCUCUCGUCAAUAGCGGGACAUAGUAACUAAAGGUGAUAUUUUAAAUCAGAGUUACCCUAUCGUUAAACACUUGUCUUCUUAAUAAAAAAAAAAAAAUAAACAAAACAAAACUAAACCAAAAAAAGUAUUCAUAUCAUUAGACAAAUGGCGUUUCAAAUAAUUGUCAGAAAUCUGAGGAAUGAGUAUAUGAUAUACCUGGUAUCUUUUUUUGGUAGCUGUUAAAAGAGCUGGUGCAAUUUCUGAGCAUGGCAGUGGUGUCUUGAGUAACCCCAAAAAGCGGGAAAAAUGUCCCGCGCGGGGCAUUUCAUGUUCAUUAAAAAAUCGGGACGUAUGGCAACGCUGGUAUCUACCUAUAAUAAUAUAUUAUGCUUGUUUAUGUCUAAUGUGCAGAUUUUACGUUAGUACUCGUAGGUUGGUAUGUGCUUAAAAUUAUAGCCAACAAAAUUAUAUAAACAUUAUGUAGGUAGCUACUUAUGUUUCAAAGUUUAUAUUAUUCUUCUAUUCAGAAAAAUUUAAAACUAACAAGCUAGCGAGUCGAGUAGGUCUAGUAACAGUUUCUACGGCAGCCAAUGUUAUGGUACAGACGCCAGCACAUUGAGCUCCUACAAUCUGUCAAAUUUCUUUAACAGAUUUUCAACUUUAUCGCUAGAGUAUUAAGGUUCAAGGUUAAUUGGGAAAAUGUGACGUUCUGCGAAUAAACUGUUGGUCGGUCGGUGUAUUAUAUACCUAAUUAUUUGAUAAUUUACCGACAAAGACGCCGCGGUUUGCAACAAGUGUAUCACAGCAUUUGACACUGUUUGAGCGCCGCAUUUGCCGACAAAGAGUACGGACAGAGGCACACAAAAUUGUUACCUAUUUUGGUAGGGUUGGUAUAGGGGGAUAAAAUUAAAUGUCUCAGCAGUAGGUAGGUAUAAAUUGAAUGCUCUGAGUUUCUUGUACAAAUACAUUCUCACACUGGCUGUCCGGCGAGAUCAUAAUUAAUAACUAAGUAGGUAUUGCAUCUAUUGAAUUUCGAAUAUUUUAAUUUCGAAAUAAUCAUUGUUAAUAUCGGUAAAUGAUAGAUAGUGAGUGAUAUACCUAGGUACUAAAAUGUGAGCAGCAAGAUUGAAAAUUGUAUAUGCCAUGUCAGUGCUUUCCAUAAGUUUAUUUUAAAAAAAGCUCUUAAGUAAGAUUUAGAGUUCACUAUUACACACAACAAAUUAUGAAAAAUAUAUUUAGACUGAGUACUUAGGGAAUUAGUAGAAAAAAUAUUCUAUCGUAGAUACCUAGUUAAAACGUUGUGUUUACUUAAUUUUAUUUUUCUGUGCUAAUGCCAGCAUUGACAACCCUACCAAAAUAGGUAAAAAUUUAGUCCGCCUUAGUCCUAGACUUUGUGUUGCCGCCGUCGCGUCGCUUUCAUGUCAAAGGUCGCCGCCACUGCCCAUGUUCCAAAGAAUAAAAUAGGUUUCCGGGUGCUCAGAACGGACGCCAAUAGAUUAUGUUGUCCUCGCAAGGAAGAUUGUAGUCGUAAGCAUAUUAUAAAAAAAAUUGUAAUAACAAUAUACCUAGUUUAUAUUAUUAUUAUACCUUUUUAAAGGACAUUGCACUGCAAAUUUGGAAGUGGGUUAAUUUAAACAAACUUGAAACGUGGAAAAACUCCAAAUAUGAGUGACGUCGUGGGUUUUGUUUUAAAAUCACACACUUCCAAAAAUCGAGAUUUAAAGUGUCGGUUUAUCAACUUCUAUCGUACCUACAUGACGUGAGGCAUGACCUAACGGAACAUGCCUAGUUCCAAUAAAAAAGGAACGUGAUAAACAAUAUUAUUUGCAUUUAUUAUCUGCACUAUAUUUUUGCGUAGGCACAAAACCUAUCUGAUUCUGAUUCUGAUACUUCUGUUUUUUAAUCUUUCAAAGAUUUAUUCUAUCUAUCAAAGAACGCCGCAUUUUUCUUUGUCGGUCUUCGGCUUGUGCUUAUAAAUAUGAGUUUUUAAAUAAUUUUCAGUCAUUUCCAAUUGAGUUCCGCUUCGAGUCUAUCUUAUUUAUUGUUCUCGCCGAUUUACCUAGCUAGAUACUCUAAAUCCUUAUUACUUUCGGAGUGAAUGUUUACAAUUUGACAUGAGUGACGAAGAUUCAAAUAGCUCUAGUCGGAGUAGUGAGAGUUGCAGAAUUAGAUCUAAAAGACUUAAAAGCAAAUAUGACGAGUUUUUCGAAAUAACUCAUGCGUCCCAAAUUGGUAUGUGUAAAUUGUGCCAACAUAAGAAAGUCGAAAUAAAAAUGAAAAACAGAAACACUUCAGGCUUAAGAAAGCAUCUAGUAUCUUUUCACGGGAAGGAAUCGCAAAUAUUUGUUCCUGUAAGAAAACCAACAUUAAGUCAAAGUCAAAGUGGAGAUAUCACAAGGUUUUUAACAACCACUGCAAUAAGUAGACAGUCAGUAUCUGAAAACCGAAGUGACAACUUCAUGACAGCUACAGUUGAUUGGAUUGUAAAAAAAUAUCUUCCUUUCUCAUUUUUCGAUGAUGAAGAUACACAGGAAUAUUUUCGAUCGAUAUGCCCGAAUACGAUAUUUCCUAAAAGGUCGACACUAAGAAGGAAAGUUAAAGAGCGAUUUGAAGAACUACAAUCGAAUGUUAAAAAUCGACUACAACAAUAUUCAUGUAAAAUGUCAUUUACCAUUGAUGGAUGGACGUCCAUUGCUGGUAGGAGUUACUACGGGGUCACAAUUCAUUUUAUAGACAAUGACUGGAAGUAUCGAUCUGUAGUCCUUGAUUUUAUACCAUCGCGCGGUCGACAUACUGGGUUAGAUAUUGCAACGAUUUUCCACGAAUGUUUAUUGGAAUAUGGCAUAAUUAAUAAAAUACAGGGUAUCACGGUGGACAACGCAACUGCAAAUACCAAAUUUAUGUGUGAACUUGGCAAACAACUGCUGCAUUUUGAUUCUGACAAUCAACAUUUCCGGUGCUUUGCUCACAUUUUGAACCUUGGUGUACAAGAUUUACUAGAGACCUUAGCUUUACACAUUGAAACUGACAAUAAAGAACAAGAACAGCAGUAUGAAGACUAUGAAGACGAAACUGAGGAAGAUGAAGAAUAUGUGCCAAAUAUUGCUGACUCACGUACAGGUAUUACAAAAUUACGCAGUAUUUCCAGUAAAAUAAAAAGAAGCGAGAUAUUGAAGAGGAAGUUCCAGUCUGCUUGUGAAGCAGUUGGCGUGCCAUCAAAUCUCAAUCCUAUACUCGACUGUCCAACAAGAUGGAAUUCCACACAUGAUAUGAUUGGAUUUGGUUUAAAAGUGAGACCUGGCAUUAACAUAUUAUGCGUUUCAGUAACCGAAUUGAAUGAUUUUCAAAUCACAGAAACGGAAUGGCAAAUACUCGAAAAAAUACAUAAGUUUUUAAUAAACUUUAAACUUUUAUCAACGAAACUUGGUGGAGAAAAAUAUGUUACAUUACCGCUAGUCAUUGUAUCAUUCAAUCUAUUGCUUGAUAAAAUUGAAUCAAUGGUAAAACAAUUAGAUGAGAAACCAAAUCGAACUGAAGUGGAUGAAAGGCUCAUUUUAGGUUUCCAAGCAGCCCGAGAUAAAAUGCUUAAACAUUAUAAGAAGAGCAACUGGAUUUACUGUACCACUUUAAUUUUAGACCCAAGGCACAAAGCUCAGACUUUUGAUAUUACAUUAUGGGGGCAGCAAAUUAAAACAGAAAGCCUGCACAAAUUUAAUGAACUUUAUAAAGAAUAUAAAAGUCUACACGUACAGCAACACUCGGUGUCUAAAUCUCCAGAAUUACCAAGAAAUGAAAACAAAGUAUGUGAGGAUGAGGAAUAUGAAGAUGUAAUAGACUUUGAGAAACUGUAUGCAUGUCCCUCUACGUCGUCAUCUGGAUCUUGUCUUCAAGGCUUAGUUUCUGACGAGUUGGAGGAGUAUCUAAGUAAACCGAGAGCCGCCAGCUCGGAAGACAUUUUAGAGUGGUGGAGGACGCAUGAGACGGAAUAUCCGAUUUUAUCCAAGAUGGCUCGUGAUUUUCUUUCGAUACCUGCAACUUCAGUACCUGCUGAGAGAUUAUUUUCUAAAGCAUCGCUAGUAAUUAGAAAACAUAGAAAUAGAUUAAGUGAUGAAUCAGCGAGGUGGUUACUUUGUAUUAAUUCUUGGUCAAAAGAAUUAAUAUAAAUAAAGUAACCAAUUUUUUUUAAUUCGAAAACAACCAUAUUCAUAUUUAGUUUUAGCCACACAACAAAAACCUCUCGGGGUUUAUAUCUGCAUGUUGGCGAGCCGUUCAUAUCAUUUCUUUACCAAUUUAUAGGUAGAUACAAUAAUACAUAGGUAUUUACAUAGGUACAUUAGGAGAAUUUUUGUGUAAGGAAACGCUUUGACUUGUACUUAUAACUUUUUGAACUCGUUUUGUAUAACGUUUGCAAGUCUAAUGGAAGUUAAUUAUGUCGAUGCUAUUCUGUACUGUACUGCAAUUUUUUUAUUUAAAUAAAUGUUAAAUUGCAUAGAUUGUCUUUAUUCUACAACUCUUCCAUCCCAUUCCAUUAAACAAAUUAAUUAUUAUUAGUUAGUAAAUCAUCGCUGAAGACAAUAGUCUUUACUAAAUAAUUAAAUAAAUUUACUAAAUAAAUAAAACUAAUUUAAACUAACGUGUUCAAUAAAUAGCAAUAGGCUAAUAGGUAUUUGUAAGUCUCGCAAGACUUGCAAGACUCUUGCUGCAAGACCAAUACCAAGACCAAGACUGAGAGCGCAAUACCAAGACCAAGAUCAAGACCAGGUGUAUUGUCGCAAGACAAUACCAAGACUGGGCUAAGUCUCGUCUUGGUCUUGCAUUUGGGCAACACUAUA